UACUUGUAGUAAUUAUGGCGUUGGAUAAAAGGGAUUUAAAAAUACGAGUGCCUCAAAGGACCACCAUAAUCUUUUUUUGACUGUGGGUAAAUUGGUCUGUAAGUACGCAAAACCUAUAAAACCAGCUAGACUAGACAAGUUUUCCACAGUUUAGACAAGUCUGAGUCACGAUGGUCGGGUAUAAGCGGCUAGCGAUCUGCACUCUAUUGCUUAUGAUGUUAGUAGAAGGGAGCCUGCAGUUCAAUGGAGCUAUGUGCAGCGGUUGUAGGGACCCGCCAUGCUGCAAAAGGAGAGAGAUUCUCAGAAAGCGGACGCUGGCAAGGCACGAAAGGCGCGACUUCUGCGCGAUUGCGCGCUCACUGAAAUGCGAGGAUGACGCAUCCAUCGACAGUGAUCAGUAACUGCCAGCCAUCAAGAGGUGAAACUGUCAUCGGGGAACAAGAGCUUUGAGCGAUCUACUCGACACAGAUCUUUGACGGAAGGGUGGCAACGCCGGGAGAUUAUCCUUAAAUUAAUCUAUGUUAUGUUUUGAGAUGGCUGUAAAUUACUGAUGUGAAUGCAGUCAUGUUGGAUUUAAAAAUAAAACCUGUUAUUUUCUCUA